rnacentral:rRNA from 1 species
UGGGGAAUUUUGGACAAUGGGGGAAACCCUGAUCCAGCAAUGCCGCGUGUGUGAAGAAGGCCUUCGGGUUGUAAAGCACUUUUGUCCGGAAAGAAAUCCUUGGCUCUAAUACAGUCGGGGGAUGACGGUACCGGAAGAAUAAGCACCGGCUAACUACGUGCCAGCAGCCGCGGUAAUACGUAGGGUGCAAGCGUUAAUCGGAAUUACUGGGCGUAAAGCGUGCGCAGGCGGUUUGCUAAGACCGAUGUGAAAUCCCCGGGCUCAACCUGGGAACUGCAUUGGUGACUGGCAGGCUAGAGUAUGGCAGAGGGGGGUAGAAUUCCACGUGUAGCAGUGAAAUGCGUAGAGAUGUGGAGGAAUACCGAUGGCGAAGGCAGCCCCCUGGGGCCAAAUACUGACGCUCAUGCACGAAAAGCGUGGGGAGCAAAACAGGAUUAGAUACCCCUGGUAGUCCACGCCCUAAACGAUGUCAACUAGUUGUUGGGGAUUCAUUUCCUUAGUAACGUAGCUAACGCGUGAAGUUGACCGCCUGGGGAGUACGGUCGCAAGAUUAAAACUCAAAUGAAUUGACGGGGUCAUAGCUGUUUCCU